rnacentral:misc_RNA from 1 species
GUGAGUCAUCGAAUCUUUGAACGCACAUUGCGCCCGCCAGUAUUCUGGCGGGCAUGCCUGUUCGAGCGUCAUUUCAACCCUCAAACCCCCGGGUUUGGUGUUGGGGAUCGGAUUGCUAGUCAGUCCGGCCCCGAAAUCUAGUGGCGGUCACGCUGCAGCUUCCAUUGCGUAGUAGAUAACACCUCGCAACUGGGACGCGGCGCGGCCAAGCCGUUAAACCCCCCAACUUCUGAAUGUUGACCUCGGAUCAGGUAGGAAUACCCGCUGAACUUAAGCAUAUCAAUAAGCGGAGGA